CCCAUCUUGUGUCAUCUCAGUCUUCUUACGCGUGUAAAAAACAGGCCACGCUCACCUUUUAUCCCCACCGCCACACAAAACUCAGUUAAUUACCAACCCUAAAAACCAGAACAAAGGAAGUCGGUGGUGUGCGUCGCGUAACCCAGAAUAUGGACAGCCGGAGGCGGUGGAGGGUGGAGGGGAUGAAGGAAGCGGAGGAGUUGUCGGCGGGAGUUUGGGAAUAACGGAAAUGCCUCUGGUGACUGUCCGUCGUCGUUCUUCAUAAUGUUUGAUUUUUUCGUUUAGGUGCACUUGAUGAUUUCCAUUGAUUGUGGUUGGAGAAAGGGUUGCACUGAUGCAGAGCUCAAGAAUGCUUAUAAGAAGCUUUCACUGAGAUGGAACCCAGAUUGUUGUUCUGUAUCAGGAAACUUAAACAUGUGGAAGAAGCAAAGAAUAAGUUUCAGGCGAUAAAAGAAGCCUAUUCUGGGUGAAAUUCGAGCGAGGAUGAUUCACUUUCUAAAUAGGGCUGCAACUGUGCUUCCUAUAAUUGUGGAGGAUGUUGCAAGAAGUGGAGUUGAAAUUGAGAUGGCUUUGGAGGUAUAAUGUUUAUAUUUUUGCUUUGGCUAUGAGGAUGAUUAUUUACAAGUUUUUUAAUUAUAUGUUAGAUUUAAUGAUUUUGAAUGUUCUCGGCACAUUUUUUAAAGAUUUUAAGAUGAGUUACCAUAGCUCUAUGAAAGUUUGAUGACUGCGUCUAAAUUGCGAAUUGAUGUUUAUCAGAACUGGGAAGUGUAUAGAGAACAUAAGUUUAGUUAUUUUGUAACAUUAUAUGCUGGCGGCUAGACGGCAAGUUAGAUAUGACGAUGGAAACGAUCAAGAAUAUGGACACACCGAAAAGAUAGCAAUUCUGGAAUUCUACACUCAGGUUGCUUAGGAAGAAGUUGAGCUUCUCAUCUCCAAGUGCCUUGGACUGCUUGGGAUUAUUAGAAUUUAGGAAUUUUUGUUUGUUUUAUAUGAUGGUUGAGUUUGGGGAAGUGAGGUGGCUUCAGUUUUGUGCCGGAGAUUUGCUAACCAGUGUCAGGGGUGUUUUCAUUGGUUGACAGAGAUGGCGUUUGCAAUCACAUUCUUCCAUGUGCAGCUCCCAAAUCACGCCAAAUCCUGCCUAUUUUCGGUGGUCAAAAGCAGGGAGUGGAUGGCGAGGUCGUUUUUAAGAAAAAUUGAGAUGAUGCUACUAGAUGAAGUUACAAGUGUACUAGAUGCAGAGCCAGAGAAAUGCAUUCAAGGGGCUCUCGAGCGUGUCUGCUCAGGGAAAACGACGUUUUUUGUAGCACAAAAAUUAUCAACUAUACGAAAGGCUCAUGUAAUGGCAAUGAUUGAUGAUGGGAAAGUGGCUGAACAAGGGUCUCACUCGCAUCUGCUGAAGAAAGUCAGAAACUACUUUGCGAAAAAGUUGCAGUUGCAAACAUUCUCACACAGGGAGGAUGCGAAUUGGGGUUUGGGUUCGAGUUUUAAACACCAGACAGACGGGUAGCGAGUUAAAACUAAUUGUAUACUUAUGUAUAACUUCUACCAAGAAUGUUUUAAGGAAUCCACACUCCACAGUUCCAUUGCAUGCAUUUUAAUUUGUUUAAAAAUGUACAUCCAAGAGUUAGCUAGAUUUAAUUGUUUUUUCAACUAGAAAUUAUACUACUAAAUGUUGUACCGUUAUCAUAGCCUUUUGGUAUCGGUACCCAUUUUUCCUGUUUCUCGGGACCGGUACUCUGGGUACCGGUUUAG